rnacentral:rRNA from 1 species
GUAGGUGGCAAGCGUUGUCCGGAAUUAUUGGGCGUAAAGCGCGCGCAGGCGGUUCUUUAAGUCUGAUGUGAAAGCCCACGGCUCAACCGUGGAGGGUCAUUGGAAACUGGAGAACUUGAGUACAGAAGAGGAAAGCGGAAUUCCACGUGUAGCGGUGGAAUGCGUAGAGAUGUGGAGGAACACCAGUGGCGAAGGCGGCUUUCUGGUCUGUAACUGACGCUGAGGCGCGAAAGCGUGGGGAGCAAACAGGAUUAGAUACCCUGGUAGUCCACGCCGUAAACGAUGAGUGCUAAGUGUUAGGGGGGUUUCCGCCCCCCUUAGUGCUGCAGCUAACGCAUUAAGCACUCCGCCUGGGAGUACGGCCGCAAGGCUG